UGGCUGAAGGAGGGCCUGUUUCUUAGAGCACAAUGUGAUAUUUAAGCCUGCCUCCAUGCAUCAGUUCAACCUACUCUUCCUCUAAUGCGACGGUUCUGGAAAAUUUGAAGUUGGUCUAGCUGCUCCUUCAGUACCUCAGACUCUCGUUUCCACUGAAGUUGACGGGAGGGAAGAAAUGCAGAGCUAAUGGGAUGUGUGCAUGCCUGGUUCAGCCUUGCCGAGACCAGAAGAGUUAACGGGAGGACGUGGUUUGGCCCCCUGAGUCGGAGCGUGACACAACGCAGCCAUCGAUUUUGCGAGCCUGCCAGGAAGGUCUGGCUGAUGCCUGUUUCCUGCACCUACAUACCUCUUCAGUGGCAGCUCUUUAGUACGUCCCUGUGCGCCCUUAGCAUCCAAUCGGUAUGAAAAUGCGUUACGUAAUGCUGUUUCCUCUUCAGCUUGUCAGCCCUAAUGGGAAGCACGCGAUGAACUUUGCAGAUGUGGGCAAGGAGAGAGCCAGGAGCCGGUGCUGGGAGUGGGCUCACAGCAGCAGAGCAAAGCCGAGCGAGGAGUGAAGUACGGCUUGCAAGAGCCUCUCGUAAGGUACUCAGAGCAUGUUUAUUGGGAAACAAAUGUAGUUUCUCUAAGACACACAAAAAAAUUACAGCAGAACGUAACAGAACUCCUCAGGUAAUACUUUCUUCAGCGUUCGCCAGAUGCUGCCUUGACAGUAAAGCACUCGGGCUGGAUGGUGCCUCAAGACCCAGCCCUGAGUGCAGGUUUGCGUGUGACCUCCACAGGUCCGUGAUUAGCUCCUGGGAUGGGAGAGGAUUUUACUGAAUCAGGAUACUGAUUGAGUAUCCCCUCAUACCCCACAGCAGUGAAAAUUUGUCUUCUGCCUUCAUGAGAAGGGGCACAACAACACCCCCGCACACAGCUUAGCUGCAUUAGAGGCUGCCUAAAAAGUUCACCUUCACCUGCCUAAAAAGUUCAGCUCUGGGCUGAGCCUUUCCCCACGAGUCUCUCCUGUCUCAGGGCUGAGGAGGAAGGUACAUGUUUCCAUCACCUAGGAGCCGCCUGGAGGCUCAGAAACACGUGGCAACUGCCAUCCUCUCCCUGUACGGCUCCACAGUCCAAGUCACUGUCUAGCCCAAGGCAUGUACAAAAAGAUAUACAUAUAUAUAUAUAUAUAUAUAUAUAUAUACACAUAUCAGUGCCCUGCUGGUUCCCACAGCCUAUUUUCAUAUGGUGAAGGUGUGCUGUAGAUAGCGGUCCCUAGCAAGCAGGCUGAAAGCAUGCGGAUCUGCACUUUGAAGCAGUCUCAGCUGCGAGUGAUUACGGAGCAGCAGGAAAACGCUGGAUGGCACAGCUUUUCCGACAGCGUGAAAGCCUGCGGGAGAACCUGCCUCAGCCCUGCGACAGCGAUAAGCGGCGCUCCCCGGUGCUCGUCUCCUCUGCCAGCCUACCCGUUUCUGAAGGCACUACUGAACCCGUAGUGAGCCAAAGAGCUCGAAUGAAGUAAUGUUAUUUAGGAAGCCCUCUUGUAUGUCCUCCUGAUGUUUCUCCCUCAAGGGAUCACAACACACUGGGGUCUUAUUCAGUGUCGGUUUUGAACGGCAAGCCCUCUCGUCCCCCUUCUGCUCCCCCUCCACACACUGUCUCCUCCCUGCUUUCCAGACAAGGGGAGCUAAGGGAGGGUUCUGUGGCCAGGCAGCCGGGUAACUGGUUUCUUUUCCUGGGUCAUUUCCAUUCUCAGCAUAUCCAAUAUACAAAACAACAGAUGCGCCCUAGAGUCUUGAGUAAAGUGAAUGACGAAAAGAAAUAGUUGUUGAUGGAGGCCUCCCUCCGCUUCUCUGCACCUCUCGGAUCUGGGCCUCCAGAGAAGGGCUGGCUUCACAUGUUGGGAAAGCUGCUCCAGCAGGAUUUGAAUAAAUACUGUGCUUUGAACCACGAAAAGACAACUGCAAAGGGAAUGCCUCAUAUUGCAGCCUCUUACAGCAAACCCUCUUGUUCCUCUAUACUUUGAUCAUAGUUAUAAAUGUAUAAUAAAUUGUUCCUUCAUCACA